CCGGGGCGUGACACAUAAUACUUUAAACAAUCGUACAUUUCAAAUAAAUAAAAAAUAUUUAAAACAAUUAAUUUCUAAUGCAAAAGUAUCAUACAAUUAAUAUUAAAAAAGUAAAUAUUCACAUCAUCUAAAUACACUUAACUAUUAAUCAAAGAUAAAGUAAUUUAAUCUUUAUUUCGCCAAUCACGAUGCUCACGGUCACAGGGACCAGAUCCUCUUGAAUAUCAAUGAUAUGUAUAUCUUGUCUCUUGAAUCAUUUUACAAAUCAUCUCCUUUCGAUUUUCUUCUCUUUGCCUACCUUCCUUGAUAAGUUGUUAUUCCCUUUGUCUAUUUUCUUUGACAAUGAGUCCCAAUUUAUUUUUGCUUUUAAUAGUUUCUUCCUCCAUCCUCUUGCUAGUAGCACAUAUUUUUUCAAUUUCUCGAGAUAAUUCUUUGUUCUUCUCAUUGGAGCACAUGUCAUUGGAAUGCCCAUUAUAUGAUCUUCUAAAGUGUUUUUUGAUAGCAUCAAAAUCCAUAUACCCUCCCCUUACAUCAGUUGUCCACCACAUCACACCAUGAUUUGAGAUUGAAUGAAGGCUGAGAAGACUGAUUAUUAACAUUUUCUCUCUCUUUAUAUUGUUCAUGUCCAUAUUACAAUAGCUUAUAUUAGUUUAACAAAUAUAAAAACAAACAAGUAAGAAUUAAUACAAGAAACUAAAAAAAAUUAAUGAAUAAUUAAUUAUGUUGACUUACACUAACUCGAGCUGAUUUGUUAUCCAAAAACUCUUCGCAUUCGUUCAAAAACCUCAAAUUCAGCCACUUCUCAUCCCAAAUAUUUUUUCUGCAAUCAUACAUAAUUUAUGUCAAUAUAAAAUAGAACAAAUGAGAUACAUUGAAUUUAUAUCUUUGGUAGUAGACCCAUCCUUCACUGUCAUUUUAUUCUUAUGUGCAAUUUCACAUUUAAUCUUGUGAUCUUCUUUAUUCCAAUGAAUUUUAAACAAGUCAUUCCAUAUAUUAGCUUUUAUCCAGUCAAGUCUUCCAUCUAUCGUAUCUAAUAUGUUUGGUUCCCUUUCUAAAUCUUCUUGUGCAUAUGAUAAUGUUGCUUUCACUACAACAAAUAUGGUCUUUCUCAAUGGUGGAAAGAUAACGAUUUUAGGAAAAACUGUUAUAAAUUUGGGAAAAGACAAUGAUUUUUGACAAAAUCGUUGUCUUUGAUGCAACGGUUAACCCAAAAGAUAAUUUUAACAAUAGUUGGGACAACGGUGCAAUGAACCAUUAUCAAUGAGAAUUCUUUUAUAACGUUUGGAAUAAUGGUGCAUAAACCAUUGUUAUUGUCCUAAUAAGACAACGAUUAUAAACUGUUGUCAAUGAAAUUAUAACUAUUGUGUUUUUUCCUGCCUAAAAACUCAUGCAUGGGGAAAUGUAAAAAAAAUAAAAAAAUAACAAACUUUAACCUAGAUCUAUUCUUGCACAACUCCUUUAUUUACACUUCAGCCUUUGACCUCACCGCUUCACCGCUCUGCCAUAAAACAAGAAAGUUAGAAAGAGAAGAGGAGGAUGGACAAGAUGCAGAAUCUCACAACGACCUUCUCUUCUUCCUCUCCCUCUCCACGCGUCACUGACAUCGAUGGGGUUGUGCCUCCACUGGUGGAGCUGGUGGGGGAACGCGGUGGAGGUACAACCGAGAAGGUGGUUGUGGUGCUUGGAAGCCUGGUAGCGGUGGUGGAGGCGGGUGGUGGCGGCGGGUGGGAUCGAGGUUCUCAUGGAGGCAACGGAAACAAGACCAACAAUUGGGAGAGAAUUCGUUGUGCAUGUGCUGCUACAGCUUGUCGCCGAAAGCCCUCGUAUCUAAGGGCUCCAAGUGGGCGAAGGCACAAUUCCACCACUGGUUGUGCUGUCGCAGUUGGGCUCAUCGAGGGCUAAGCACGAGGCGGCGAUGCUACUGGGCUACUUGCGGGAACUGCGGUACUAGAACUAAUCUGCGCCAAUGGAUGCAAGGCAAAGAUUACUUGAGGCUCUCUUUAGUUUGAAUAAUGUGAUUGGGCAUCCUGAUGCAUUGCAAUCAGAUAAUGUUGUUUCAACACUUGGAAAAAUAUGCAAAUUUUAUCGUGAUGGUAUUGAUGCAGCUAAGGGGUGAGGUCAUUGGAAGUGGACUCGGAGGAGCAGAAGAUGGUGAUGGUUGGUGACAACGUCACUCCAUUUGAAGUCCUCAUUGGUGUAUCAAAGUUGGUCCUAUCUAUUUAUUCGUUAUGCACUCCUUAUUGCUUAUGUGGCUCGCUCUUCAGAGAUUUUCACAAACACCUUCAGCAUUCCAGUGUAUGUGCACUUUUAGUGUCUCAUUAAAGUUGUAUAUGAAAGAAAAUCUAUGCUAUUUUUUUUGGGUUUAUGUCAGCAGGAGUUUUAUUUUCUUAUGUUUCACUUAUUUCAGUUUAAUCAUAGUCCAAUUGUUUUUUUUUAUCUCUAUACCUUCUUUUGUGUUUUGUUUUUGGAUAGGACAUUGUUCUUCCAUAAGUCAUCUACAUCUGCCUUGUUUUUAUUAUGUUCAAUGAUUGUUUACAAUAGGUAUCGACAUGAUUAGGUGGUCAUGGCCUAUUGUGCUUGAAAAGUGAAUUAUGUUCCUGUUAUAUUCACGAUUCUACACUGGACUUUUCUUAUCAUUAUUUUUAAAAAAUAUUUUAUUUCUGAUGAAUUUUCCUAUUUAAUAAUGACUCAGCAGUGUCAUGAUAGUCAUGCACAUUUAGUUUCAUUUUUAAAGAGUGAAAUAUUAUAAUUAUAAAACAACCAUUUCUAAUUUUAUUUACAACUGCAUGAUGGUUUUAGCAUAAGGAGAACUAAAAAUUUACAACUUUUAAAAGGAAAAUUUUCAUGUGUGACAUUCCAAGAAAAUGUUGUACCAUGAAAUAUAUAGCUACAUCAAAAUAUUUAUCAUUUAUAACAAAAGCCUAAAUAUUCCAGUACUUGGUAAUAAGUGUCUUUAAGCCUGAAUUGCAAGUAAGACAAUUAAAGUUUCUUUUGUGUUUUUACCUAUAUUAUUUGGUUCAUCCAGAGUUAUUAGAAGAUAUUGAGAAAUUAUGACAAAAGACACAGCAAAUGAGAAUUGGGGGCAAUUAGUUUGGUUUCAUUUGGGACUUUGGGAUAUACCCAUUUUUUUACUGGUUUGAUUAGUUAGUGACCAGUUCAUGAUAUACUUAGAGUGUACCAUUAAAAACUGAACUGAUCCUUGUUGAACUGGCUAAGCUAUCUAGAGCAUUAGUGGCUUGUGAUUUAUUCAUGGGGAUGUCAGAUGGAAGUUUGUAUUGGAAUUCUUCAUUGAAGAGCUUGAUAAAUGCGGAACUUUGUUUAAGCAUGUUAUUUACCAUAUAGGAGACAUUAUAAGUACUAAUGAUCUUGGCUAGAGGUGUCAGGCAGAAAGCAAGUAUUUAAUUUCCACGUAGUCAUAGUUAUUUUUCCUUUUCUCUCUUAGCUCGUGUUGGACUUGUUGUUAUCCUUCAUUAAGGGUUUAUAGACAAUAUUGUCUUUUAUAAUUUUUUUCAUUAAAUUUGUCUCUUAUCUUUUCAAUGGUAAAUUUAUUAACUUUUUUUUUCAUCAAUGAGUAUGCCUUUUGUGAUCUUUGUUGUUACUGAGAUGAUUUUACUUGGUUAUAUGAGUUUCACAUCAAAUGUUUCCGACUGCAAACAUCAAAACUUGUGUCGGUUCUUGUUUACCAUGAUUUGCUGGGAAUGUUGCAACAUCCUCAUUAUGCUAAGUGAAAUUAGUUGAUUAUAGAAGAAGAGAAGAAGCAAAAAUCCUAGCUCUGAAAACAUUACAGAGGAGAGGCCACGACGUAUCGAAAAAUUGAAAUAUUAUUUGUUAGAAGGAUGUUGGUGAUAAGUUAUCGUUGUAUGAAUUUAUUUUUGGUGGUUGUUUACUUUAAUUUCAGUAAUAUACUCUUUGCAUAUAUGGUAAAGAGAAUGUAUAUGUUUGACUACAAGUUUGUAUAUAUGUUUGGCUAUGAGUUUGUAUAUAUACGAAGUGUUCAUUUGAA